GCAGUCCUGGCCGAGCAGUUAAAGCGUUAGACUAGAAAUCUAUUGGGGUCUACCCGCACAGGUUCGAAUCCUGUCGACUGCG